ACUGCCCAGUGAAUUAAACGGCCGCGGUAUCCUAACCGUGCAAAGGUAGCGUAAUCACUUGUCUUAUAAAUAAAGAMCSGUAUGAAUGGUUAAAUGAGUAUUUAACUGUCUCCUUUAACUAAUCAGUGAAACUGACCCCUCAGUACAAAUGCCGGAGAUAAAAACAUAAGACGAGAAGACCCUGUGGAGCUUUAAAUUUAAACAAGAUAUUUAAAUAWAUUUAUGACAAAAAUUUUUAGUUGRGGCGACUUUGGAGCAAAACUUAMCCUCCAAGAAAAGGUGCUACCUAAACUAGGCUAACCGGCCAAACAUCUAGACCCAGUAUUUUAUACUGAUUAAUGAACCGAGUUACCCCAGGGAUAACAGCGCCAUCUUCUUCAAGAGUUCCCAUCGACAAGAAGGUUUACGACCUCGAUGUUGGAUCAGGACACCCAAAUGGUGCAGCCGCUAUUAAAGGUUCGUUUGUUCAACGAUUAAUGUCCUACGUGAUCUGA
rnacentral:rRNA from 1 species